rnacentral:piRNA from 1 species
ACAACAGACAUUUUGAGAAGUGCCAU